rnacentral:ribozyme from 1 species
UGCCCAGCAACUCCUAUCCCUACCUCCUCGUGGUACUGGCCGGGGUACGAGUAACCUUGGGGAAGAUCGGGUAACCAACCCCCGGUGGGAACUUAUGCUGACAGGGAAGG